GUACGGGAGGCAGCAGUGGGGAAUAUUGCGCAAUGGGCGAAAGCCUGACGCAGCAACGCCGCGUGAGGGAUGACGGCCUUCGGGUUGUAAACCUCUUUCAGCAGGGAAGAAGCGAAAGUGACGGUACCUGCAGAAGAAGCACCGGCUAACUACGUGCCAGCAGCCGCGGUAAUACGUAGGGUGCAAGCGUUGUCCUGAUUUAUUGGGCGUAAAGAGCUCGUAGGCGGUUAGUCACGUCGGAUGUGAAAACCAGAAGCUUAACUUCUGGCCUGCAUUCGAUACGGGCUGACUAGAGUGUUGUAGGGGAGACUGGAACUCCUGGUGUAGCGGUGAAAUGCGCAGAUAUCAGGAAGAACACCGGUGGCGAAGGCGGGUCUCUGGGCAACUACUGACGCUGAGGAGCGAAAGCGUGGGGAGCAAACAGGAUUAGAUACCCGUGUAGUCCC
rnacentral:rRNA from 1 species